rnacentral:rRNA from 1 species
GAUGAACGCUGGCGGCGUGCCUAAUACAUGCAAGUCGAGCGAACGGACGAGACGCUUGCUUCUCUGAUGUUAGCGGCGGACGGGUGAGUAACACGUGGAUAACCUACCUAUAAGACUGGGAUAACUUCGGGAAACCGUAGCUAAUACCGGCUAAUAUUUUGAACCGCAUGGUUCAAAAGUGAAAGACGGUCUUGCUGUCACUUAUAGAUGGAUCCGCGCUGCAUUAGCUAGUUGGUAGGGUAACGGCUUACCAAGGCAACGAUGCAUAGCCGACCUGAGAGGGUGAUCGGCCACACGAGAACGGGGACGCGGUCCAGAGGCCUAAGGGAGGCAGCAGUAGGGAAUCGGACGCAAUGGGCGAAAGCAUGACGGAGCAACGGCGAGUGAGUGAUGAAGGUCUUGGGAUCGUAAAAAUCGGUUAUUAGGGAAGAACAUAUGUGUAAGUAACUGUGCAGAUCUUGACGGUACCUAAUGAGAAAGCCACGGCUAACUACGUG